UACGAAGGGGGCUAGCGUUGUUCGGAAUCACUGGGCGUAAAGCGUAUGUAGGCGGAUUGUUAAGUCAGGGGUGAAAUCCCGAGGCUCAACCUCGGAACUGCCUUUGAUACUGGCUGUCUUGAGUCCGGGAGAGGUGAGUGGAACUCCUAGUGUAGAGGUGAAAUUCGUAGAUAUUAGGAAGAACACCAACGGCGAAAGCACUCUGCUGGGCCGACACUGACACUGAGAGACGAAAGCUAGGGGAGCAAAUGGG
rnacentral:rRNA from 1 species